GGAUUGCCCUAGUAACGGCGAGUGAAGCGGCAACANNUCAAAUUUGAAAGCUGGCCUUCGGGUCCGCAUUGUAAUUUGUAGAGGAUGCUUUGGGUGAAACGCCAGUCUAAGUUCCUUGGAACAGGACGUCAUAGAGGGUGAGAAUCCCGUAUGUGACUGGAAAUGUUAACCUAUGUAAAGCUCCUUCGACGAGUCGAGUUGUUUGGGAAUGCAGCUCUAAAUGGGAGGUAAAUUUCUUCUAAAGCUAAAUAUUGGCGAGAGACCGAUAGCGCACAAGUAGAGUGAUCGAAAGAUGAAAAGCACUUUGGAAAGAGAGUUAAAAAGCACGUGAAAUUGUUGAAAGGGAAGCGCUUGCAAUCAGACUUGUUUAAACUGUUCGGCCGGUCUUCUGACCGGUUUACUCAGUUUGGACAGGCCAGCAUCAGUUUCGGCGGCCGGAUAAAGGCUCUGGGAAUGUGGCCUUCACUUCGGUGAAGGUGUUAUAGCCCAGGGUGUAAUACGGCCAGCCGGGACUGAGGUCCGCGCUUCGGCUAGGAUGCUGGCGUAAUGGUUGUAAGCGACCCGUCUUGAAACACGGACCAAGGAGUCUAACAUCUAUGCGAGUGUUCGGGUGUCAAACCCCUGCGCGUAAUGAAAGUGAACGGAGGUGGGAACCGCAAGGUGCACCAUCGACCGAUCCUGAUGUCUUCGGAUGGAUUUGAGUAAGAGCAUAGCUGUUGGGACCCGAAAGAUGGUGAACUAUGCCUGAAUAGGGUGAAGCCAGAGGAAACUCUGGUGGAGGCUCGCAGCGGUUCUGACGUGCAAAUCGAUCGUCAAAUUUGGGUAUAGGGGCGAAAGACUAAUCGAACCAUCUAGUAG
rnacentral:rRNA from 1 species